rnacentral:rRNA from 1 species
GCCCGCUACAGAAACUUAAAGGAAUUGACGGGACCCCGCACAAGCGGUGGAUCAUGUUGUUUAAUUCGAUGAUACGCGAAGAACCUUACCAGGUCUUGACAUCCCCCGCGAUGCUUUAGAGAUAAAGCGGAGGUAUUCGGGGAGACAGGUGGUGCAUGGUUGUCGUCAGCUCGUGUCGUGAGAUGUUGGGUUAAGUCCCGCAACGAGCGCAACCCCUAUUGCUAGUUACCAUCAUUAAGUUGGGGACUCUAGCGAGACUGCCAGUGAUAAACUGGAGGAAGGUGGGGAUGACGUCAAAUCAUCAUGCCCCUUAUGACCUGGGCUACAAACGUGAUACAAUGGCUGGAACAAAGGGAUGCGAAGCAGUGAUGUGGAGCGAAACCCAUAAAAACAGUCUCAGUUCGGAUUGAAGUCUGCAACUCGACUUCAUGAAGUCGGAAUCGCUAGUAAUCGCGGAUCAGAACGCCGCGGUGAAUACGUUCUCGGGGUUU